AAGGAUUUAAGUUAAAAAAACUAAUAGCCUUCAAAGCUGUAAUUAGAGAAAGGCUCUAAGCCUUA
rnacentral:tRNA from 1 species